GUGAUGCGGAAUGAAAAGGGAAUGCAGUGAAAAUCUGCGACAAUACCCGUUGCUGUAAGUUCCUGCCCCGAACGAGGGGCGCAAAAAGUUUCACAUUCUUUGCCACUGGCCUACGGGCUGGGAAGGCGUGAAACCGGAACAAGUCAGAAGACCUGCCUCUGCUUUUU
rnacentral:ncRNA from 1 species